CCUUCAUGAAGCCGGAAUUGCUAGUAAUGGCAGGUCAGCAUACUGCCGUGAAUACGUUCCCGGGCCUUGUACACACCGCCCGUCACACCAUGAGAGUUGGAAAUACCCGAAGCCUGUGAGCUAACCUUUAGGAGGCAGCAGUCGAAGGUAGAGCCAAUGAUUGGGGUGAAGUCGUAACAAGGUAGC
rnacentral:rRNA from 1 species